AGUGAACGCUGGCGGUAGGCCUAACACAUGCAAGUCGAACGGCAGCACAGUAAGAGCUUGCUCUUACGGGUGGCGAGUGGCGGACGGGUGAGGAAUACAUCGGAAUCUACUUUUUCGUGGGGGAUAACGUAGGGAAACUUACGCUAAUACCGCAUACGACCUACGGGUGAAAGCAGGGGAUCUUCGGACCUUGCGCGAUUGAAUGAGCCGAUGUCGGAUUAGCUAGUUGGCGGGGUAAAGGCCCACCAAGGCGACGAUCCGUAGCUGGUCUGAGAGGAUGAUCAGCCACACUGUAACUGAGACACGGUCCUUACUACUACGGGAGGCAGCAGUGGGGAAUAUUGGACAAUUGGCGCAAGCCUGAUCCAGCCAUACCGCGUGGGUGAAGAAGGCCUUCUGGUUGUAAAGCCCUUUUGUUGGGAAAGAAAAGCAGCAGGUUAAUACCCCGCUGUUCUGACGGUACCCAAAGAAUAAGCACCGGCUAACUUCGUG
rnacentral:rRNA from 1 species